ACAGCGAGGAGACCUCCCCAUGAAGAAGUUCCUGACCAUCGCAGCCAUUGCCGCCGCCGUCGUGGCCGUGCCGCUGGCCAUGGCCCAGAACGCCGGACAGGGCCAGUCCACCGCGCAGCAGGGCGACCAGGCCGAGGCCAAGGCCCAGUCCGAGGCCGACGCCAAGGCCAAGCGCCGCGCCGCUGCCAGCGCCGAGAUGAAGGCCAAGGGCCAGCAGGCGCCGCAGCAGGAAGAGGAAGAAGAGGCCAAAAAGAAGCGCUGAACCCGCUUCCUGGCCCCCCAGACGCCCCGGCUUGCCGGGGCGUCUUCGUUCCUGCCCCUUGGGCUU
rnacentral:sRNA from 1 species